UAGGGAAUAUUGCAAAAUGGGCGAAAGCCCGAUGCAGCAACGCCGCGUGGGCGAUGAAGGCCUUCGGGUCGUAAAGCCCUUUUUGAGGGGAUGAGGAAGGACAGUACCCUCAGAAUAAGCCUCGGCUAACUACGUGCCAGCAGCCGCGGUAAAACGUAGGAGGCGAGCGUUAUCCGGAUUUACUGGGCGUAAAGCGCGUGCAGGCGGAUUGGAGAGUUGGAUGUGAAAGCUCCCGGCUUAACUGGGAGAGGUCGUUCAAUACUUCCAGCCUUGAGUGCAGUAGAGGGAAGUGGAAUUCCGGGUGUAGUGGUGAAAUGCGUAGAUAUCCGGAGGAACACCAGUGGCGAAAGCGGCUUCCUGGACUGUAACUGACGCUCAGACGCGAAAGCUAGGGUAGCAAACG
rnacentral:rRNA from 1 species